rnacentral:sRNA from 1 species
AUCUUCCUAUCCUGUAUCCCUAUCGGUAUUACCCACCUAGAAGACACAGGUGACAGCUUAAGGUAGGCAGAAUUUAAUAAGAUGAAGAAAUUUCUUCCGCUAUUUGUCGCAGCUUUUCUGCUCGUAAACAUGUUUUACCUCGGAGAAGCAGCAUCUACGACGUCUGUCGUUACUACCACACACGCGCCUCAGCCGACGACCACGACGCCUCAGCCGACGACUGCCGCCUCAGGGGGCGGGGCUCUCCUCGUAUCUCACGUGGUCUUUUUGGCUCUCCUCCAGCUACUGAUUUAAUAAAUGAUCAAUGAAACUGUCGCAGAUUAAGAAUCAAAAUAUUUGAAAGUACAAUUUUAUUGAUGAUUUUUUUUACAUAGAUACCAAUGUUCAAAUGUUAACUUUAUCCACGGUGUAAAAAAGUGAAAUUCAAACGGUUUUAUAAAAAUUAAUGUGUUUUUGUGAGGAAAUUAUAUGAUCAGUUGAAAUCUGAAUAAAGAGUGACAAACGGU